AACGUAGGACGCAAGCGUUAUCCGGAGUUACUGGGCGUAAAGCGCGGGCAGGCGGCUCGAAACGUCUGAUGUGAAAUCUCCUCGCUCAACGGGGAGAGGCCAUUGGAAACGGUCGAGCUGGAGGGCAGUAGAGGUAGGCGGAAUUCCGGGUGGAGUGGUGAAAUGCGUAGAGAUCCGGAGGAACACCAGAGGCGAAGGCGGCCUACUGGGCUGCACCUGACGCUGAGCCGCGAAAGCGUGGGUAGCAAACAGG
rnacentral:rRNA from 1 species